rnacentral:tRNA from 1 species
AGGGCAGUAGCUCAAUUGGUAGAGCACCGGUCUCCAAAACCGGCGGUUGCGGGUUCGAGUCCCUCCUGCCCUG